UCAAAUAACUAUUACAUAAAUAACACGUUUAUCAAACCAUCGGUAACUCCAAUUCAUUAAAUCCAUCGAUCGUCUUUUAUGUAAACAAUGCCGCGUAUGCGCCGCAUAUGC